rnacentral:rRNA from 1 species
AUUGAACGCUGGCGGCAGGCCUAACACAUGCCAGUCGAGCGGAUGAAGGGAGCUUGCUCCUGGAUUCAGCGGCGGACGGGUGAGUAAUGCCUAGGAAUCUGCCUGGUAGUGGGGGAUAACGUCCGGAAACGGGCGCUAAUACCGCAUACGUCCUGAGGGAGAAAGUGGGGGAUCUUCGGACCUCACGCUAUCAGAUGAGCCUAGGUCGGAUUAGCUAGUUGGUGGGGUAAAGGCCUACCGAGGCGACGAUCCGUAACUGGUCUGAGAGGAUGAUCAGUCACACUGGAACUGAGACACGGUCCAGACUCCUACGGGAGGCAGCAGUGGGGAAUAUUGGACAAUGGGCGAAAGCCUGAUCCAGCCAUGCCGCGUGUGUGAAGAAGGUCUUCGGAUUGUAAAGCACUUUAAGUUGGGAGGAAGGGCAGUAAGUUAAUACCUUGCUGUUUUGACGUUACCAACAGAAUAAGCACCGGCUAACUUCGUG